rnacentral:rRNA from 1 species
UUCUGUUUGAUCCUGGCGGAGGCUACUGCUAUUGGGAUUUUAUUCCGCCAUGCGAGUUGAAUGAAUUUAGAUUCAUGGCGUACGGCUCAGUAACACGUGGAUAACUUACCCUUAGGACUGGGAUAACUCUGGGAAACUGGGGAUAAUACCGGAUAUUAGGCUAUGGCUGGAAUGCUUUGCCUUUGAAAUGUUUCUUGUAUUCGCCUAAGGAUAGAUCUGCGGCUGAUUAGGUCGUUGGUGGGGUAAUGGCCCACCAAGCCUAUGAUCGGUACGGGUUGUGAGAGCAAGAGCCCGGAGAUGGAACCUGAGACAAGGUUCCAGACCCUACGGGGUGCAGCAGGCGCGAAACCUCCGCAAUGUACGAAAGUGCGACGGGGGGAUCCCAAGUGUUAUUCUUAAUAGGAUAACUUUUCAUU